UUGUUAAUUCAUACAAGGGUACUCAUUUCCCUACUGAAUUUGGAUUGUGUACCUUCCUUCAUUCCCCUUUAUGUGAAAAUUUGCUCUAUGUUAACGUUGGCGAUAGAAUUGACAUAUCUGCAAGCAGAUCUUACUGGGUUUACGUUGAGAAGACUUACGACAAAAAGUACGAAAAGAUAUUAAAUGAAAAGGAAAGAAUGCUAAAAAAGGGAUGGAUUCCUCGG